rnacentral:rRNA from 1 species
AGAGUUUGAUCAUGGCUCAGGAUGAACGCUGGCGGCGUGCCUAAUACAUGCAAGUCGAACGAGGAGCCAUCUUACUUGUAUUCGUACUCGUAAGGAGGAUUUUCUAGUGGCGAACGGGUGAGUAUCGCGUUGGUGACCUGCCCCAAAGAGAGGGAUAACAGUUUGAAAAGACUGCUAAUACCUCAUGUUGUCAUGGCUUUUAGAAAACCAUGUCCAAAGGAGUAAUCCGCUUUGGGAGGGGCCUGCGUCCCAUCAGCUAGUUGGUAAGGUAACGGCUUACCAAGGCGACGACGGGUAGGGGACCUGAGAGGGUGGCCCCCCACAAUGGAACUGAAACACGGUCCAUACACCUACGGGUGGCAGCAGUAGGGAAUAUUGCACAAUGGGCGAAAGCCUGAUGCAGCAACGCCGCGUGUGCGAUGAAGGCCUUCGGGUCGUAAAGCACUUUUCGAGAGGAUGAGAAAGGACAGUACUCUCGGAAUAAGUCUCGGCUAACUACGUGCCAACAGCCGCGGUAACACGUAGGAGGCAAGCGUUAUCCGGAUUUACUGGGCGUAAAGCGCGUGCAGGUG